GCUGAAAACAGUGAUAGGGAACUGACAGGGCUGCAUGUUCACGUGCACUCAGCAGGCCCUGACAUGCAGCGACUUGUGGUUAUUCAGCCCCUUCCGUGGAAUUCAUUCUUCGUAUUCCAAACCUGUGGAAUCGGAGGCUCUGGCUUAAGGACAGGAAUGACAGCAGCUGCUCCACGUGUGCUGCUCAGUCCCUUCUCCACACCGUGUCAAUCCUGAGGUCACCCCCAGAGGGAGAGGCUGUGAUCCCAGCCAGGAUACAGAGAAGGAACCGAGGGGCGGAGCCACGGGCGGCUCCCUGUCUAUGGCCUGUGAGCCCAGAGUGGUCUGUGGGAUCGGGCACUGCUCUCCCAGGCUAUGGUGCAGCUCCGCCCCAGUUGGUUUGGGAUUCUUUGGACGCAGAGCCUGAGAUGAGGUCUCAGUGCAUGGCUGUGUCAGAAGCCAGGAAGAAGAGGGACUUGGGUCGCGGGCCAGCCUGGCUCGUGCGGGCUCCGACUCCCGGCCUCGGUGGCUCCCUGAAGCACAGCCCCGACAGACGCCUGGCACCGCAGCCUUUGUGCUCAGAGGAGUGGGGACACCAUCCUGCACGCUUGGCCUUUACAGACCUCGAGCCUCGCGCCGGGCGCCGUGUGAAGAGUCACAGUCACGGGCUCAUUGAAUCCCAGCGGCAGUCCUGUGAGUAUCUCUGCUGCGGUCCCCUUUGAUAGCUACGGAAUCCGGGACACAGAGGGUCAGGCCCUGCGGAGGGGCAUAGGGCCAGUUGGUCACUAGGCUAAGACACGAGCCAUCAGCUGGCUGAAAUCCGCUCCUUGGUCCCAACAGCCACGGUGCUGUGUUCUCUGGUACCCUGUGUGCCCGCUGUGGGACGGGGUUCCUAGGGAGUGCCCCUCAGUCCCUGUGGUGACCUGUGUGACUUCCUGUUUAUGCUGGUCUCUCUGUGCUUCCGUCUUUUCUUUGCCCAAGAUUCUGUUUUCUCGUAGCUUUGUCUUUUCAAUUUCUAACAUGAAAAUUUAAACUGAAGAGAUCUCGGCCCCACACCGAGGAGAGGGAACCCAGCCCAGUGGACUCCAGGGCCUCAGCCCCAUCCAAUCAUGGAGCAGGGCUCUGUCUGGAUUUCUCAGAGAGGGCUUCUGAUUGGUCCGGAUAGUUCAUCUGCUCACAUUGAGUCACAGUAAUUGGCUAAGGGGAGGCCAACCCCAUACCAAUCAGAUAUCGCCACAGAGCCAUCUCAGAGCAAGGAUGCCCAUGGCUGACCCUGGGGUCUUAAGUGUGUUGGGCCACAGACAUUAAUUUGCUGAUGUUCCUAAGGUUGUCACUUUCACUUUCUCUUCUUAAAGGUCUUGCUUUCCUUGGCUAUUUCUCAUCUUUUUCUGUUUUUUGUAUUUUGUUUUUUUUUUUUUUUGUUGUUGUUGUUGUUUUUGGUACCAUGGCUGGAACUCAGGACCUUGCUCUUGCCAGGCAGGUGCUGUGCCACUGAGCUAAAGCCCUAGCCCUCUCAUCGUUUUCUAAUUAUGUGUUGCCUACAAACAACCCCUGAUUUUAUAGUGGUUCCAAACAGGUGGCACUAUGGGAAGAAAAAGUAAUCAAGUCUUCACUAGUUAGAAGUUUGAACACACCGUUUUAGACACGGAGAGCUUAAACAAAUCUAAAUCACACACAUGUGGCUCUUUUGAAAACCAUAGCAAUUGAGUUUGCUCCAGUG
ensembl:lincRNA